UACGUAGGGACCAAGCGUUGUUCGGAUUUACUGGGCGUAAAGGGCGCGUAGGCGGCGAAUCAAGUCAGCUGUGAAAUCUCCGAGCUUAACUCGGAACGGUCAGCUGAUACUGUUUUGCUAGAGUGCAGAAAGGGCAACCGGAAUUCUUGGUGUAGCGGUGAAAUGCGUAGAUAUCAGGAGGAACACCGGUGGCGAAGGCGGUUCUCUGGGCCUUACCUGACGCUGAGGAGCGAAAGCGUGGGGAGCAAACAGG
rnacentral:rRNA from 1 species